AUUGAACGCUGGCGGCGUGCCUAACACAUGCAAGUCGAGCGGUAACGCGGGGGCAACCCUGGCGACGAGCGGCGAACGGGUGAGUAAUGCUUGGGAAUCUGCCCAGUAGUGGGGAAUAACCAGCCGAAAGGUUGGCUAAUACCGCAUACGCCCUACGGGGGAAAGCGGGGGACCGAAAGGCCUCGCGCUAUUGGAUGAGCCCAAGUCGGAUUAGCUAGUUGGUAGGGUAACGGCCUACCAAGGCGACGAUCCGUAGCUGGUCUGAGAGGACGACCAGCCACACUGGGACUGAGACACGGCCCAGACUCCUACGGGAGGCAGCAGUGGGGAAUAUUGGACAAUGGGCGAAAGCCUGAUCCAGCGACGCCGCGUGGGUGAAGAAGGCCUGCGGGUUGUAAAGCCCUUUCGGCAGGGACGAA
rnacentral:rRNA from 1 species